AACGAACGCUGGCGGCAUGCCUAACACAUGCAAGUCGAACGAGGCCCUUCGGGGUUUAGUGGCGCACGGGUGCGUAACGCGUGGGAAUCUGCCCUUUGGUUCAGAAUAACAGCUGGAAACGGCUGCUAAUACCGGAUGAUGACGAAAGUCCAAAGAUUUAUCGCCAGAGGAUGAGCCCGCGUUGGAUUAGGUAGUUGGUGGGGUAAAGGCCUACCAAGCCGACGAUCCAUAGCUGGUCUGAGAGGAUGAUCAGCCACACUGGGACUGAGACACGGCCCAGACUCCUACGGGAGGCAGCAGUGGGGAAUAUUGGACAAUGGGCGCAAGCCUGAUCCAGCAAUGCCGCGUGAGUGAUGAAGGCCCUAGGGUUGUAAAGCUCUUUUACCCGGGAAGAUAAUGACUGUACCGGGAGAAUAAGCCCCGGCUAACUCCGUG
rnacentral:rRNA from 1 species